rnacentral:rRNA from 1 species
AUUGAACGCUGGCGGCAGGCCUAACACAUGCAAGUCGGACGGUAGCACAGAGGAGCUUGCUCCUCGGGUGACGAGUGGCGGACGGGUGAGUAAUGUCUGGGGAUCUGCCCGAUAGAGGGGGAUAACCACUGGAAACGGUGGCUAAUACCGCAUAACGUCGCAAGACCAAAGAGGGGGGCCGUCGGGCCUCCCACUAUCGGAUGAACCCAGAUGGGAUUAGCUAGUAGGCGGGGUAACGGCCCACCUAGGCGACGAUCCCUAGCUGGUCUGAGAGGAUGACCAGCCACACUGGAACUGAGACACGGUCCAGACUCCUACGGGAGGCAGCAGUGGGGAAUAUUGCACAAUGGGCGCAAGCCUGAUGCAGCCAUGCCGCGUGUAUGAAGAAGGCCUUCGGGUUGUAAAGUACUUUCAGCGGGGAGGAAGGCGAUGUGGUUAAUAACCGCGUCGAUUGACGUUACCCGCAGAAGAAGCACCGGCUAACUCCGUGCCAGCCGCCGCCGUAA